rnacentral:rRNA from 1 species
CCUACGGGUGGCAGCAGUGAGGAAUAUUGGUCAAUGGACGCAAGUCUGAACCAGCCAAGCCGCGUGAAGGAUGACUGCCCUAUGGGUUGUAAACUUCUUUUAUACAGGGAUAAAACCAGGCACGUGUGCCUUUUUGCAUGUAUCUUAUGAAUAAGGAUCGGCUAACUCCGUGCCAGCAGCCGCGGUAAUACGGAGGAUUCAAGCGUUAUCCGGAUUUAUUGGGUUUAAAGGGUGCGUAGAUGGGUGGUUAAGUCAGUGGUGAAAGUUUGCGGCUCAACCGUGAAAUUGCAUUUGAUACUGGUCGUCUAGAGAACAGUUGAGGUAGGCGGAAUGCGUGGUGUAGCGGUGAAAUGCUUAGAGAUCACGCAGAACACCGAUUGCGAAGGCAGCUUACUAAGCUGUUACUGACGUUGAGGCACGAAAGCGUGGGGAGCAAACAGGAUUAGAUACCCCGGUAGUC